rnacentral:rRNA from 1 species
GAUGAACGCUGGCGGCGUGCCUAAUACAUGCAAGUCGAGCGAACAGACGAGGAGCUUGCUCCUCUGACGUUAGCGGCGGACGGGUGAGUAACACGUGGAUAACCUACCUAUAAGACUGGGAUAACUUCGGGAAACCGGAGCUAAUACCGGAUAAUAUAUUGAACCGCAUGGUUCAAUAGUGAAAGACGGUUUUGCUUCCACUUAUAGAUGGAUCCGCGCCGCAUUAGCUAGUUGGUAAGGUAACGGCUUACCAAGGCAACGAUGCGUAGCCGACCUGAGAGGGUGAUCGGCCACACUGGAACUGAGACACGGUCCAGCCUCCUACGGGAGGCAGCAGUAGGGAAUCUUCCGCAAUGGGCGAAAGCCUGACGGAGCAACGCCGCGUGAGUGAUGAAGGUCUUCGGAUCGUAAAACUCUGUUAUUAGGGAAGAACAAAUGUGUAAGUAACUAUGCACGUCUUGACGGUACCUAAUCAGAAAGCCACGGCUAACUACGUG